GCGGAAGUGGCGGAAUGGUAGACGCCCUGGGUUUAGGUCCCAGUAUUCGAAAGAGUGUGGGGGUUCGAGUCCCCCCUUCCGCA
rnacentral:tRNA from 1 species